AUACGGAGGAUCCGAGCGUUAUCCGGAUUUAUUGGGUUUAAAGGGUGCGCAGGCGGCCAUUUAAGUCAGCGGUUAAAUCGUGGGGCUCAACCCCAUUCUGCCGUUGAUACUGGGUGGCUUGAUUGCGGUCGAGGUUGGCGGAAUUCGUUGUGUAGCGGUGAAAUGCAUAGAUAUGACGAAGAACACCGAUUGCGUAGGCAGCUGACCAGACCGCAAAUGACGCUCAUGCACGAAAGUGCGGGGAUCGAACAGGAUUAGAUACCCUGGUAGUCCGCACAGUAAAUGAUGAAUACUUGUUUUCGGCGAUAUAAUGUCGGAGGCAAAGCGAAAGCGAUAAGUAUUCCACCUGGGGAGUACGCCGGCAAAGGUGAAACUCAAAUGAAUUGACGGG
rnacentral:rRNA from 1 species